UUCGUAGGCAGUGCGGCAAGUCGGGAGUGAAAUCUCUGGGCUUAACUCAGAGGCUGCUUCCGAAACUGCUGUGCUUGAGUGUGGGAGAGGCGCGUGGAAUUGCAGGUGUAGCGGUGAAAUGCGUAGAUAUCUGCAGGAACACCCGUGGCGAAAGCGGCGCGCUGGACCACAACUGACGCUGAGGAACGAAAGCUAGGGGAGCAAACAGGAUUAGAUACCCUGGUAGUCCUAGCCCUAAACGAUCAGGACUUGGGGUGCCGCCCGUUCGGGCGUCGUCCCGGAGCUAACGCGUUAAGUCCUGCACCUGGGGAGUACGGUCGCAAGACUGAA
rnacentral:rRNA from 1 species